rnacentral:rRNA from 1 species
UACGUAGGGGGCAAGCGUUGUCCGGAUUUAUUGGGCGUAAAGAGCGUGUAGGCGGCCGUACAGGUCAGCUGUGAAAACUCGAGGCUCAACCUCGAGACGUCGGUUGAAACCGUACGGCUAGAGUCCGGAAGAGGAGAGUGGAAUUCCCGGUGUAGCGGUGAAAUGCGCAGAUAUCGGGAAGAACACCCGUGGCGAAGGCGGCUCACUGGACCGGAACUGACGCUGAGGCGCGAAAGCGUGGGGAGCAAACGGG